AGGAAGACACAGAAUCUGAAGUAGGCUCCAGGCUCUGAGCUGUCAGCACAGAGCCCAACACAGGUCUCGAACUCACAAACCAUGAGAUCACGACGUGAGCCGAAGUCGGACGCUUAACCGACUGAGCCACCCAGGCGCCCCGUGGACCAAAAUUCAAUAACAAUGAGUAUUUCCACAUUUAAUAACUCUAACAGUAAUUUUACCAAUCUAUGGGAGCUGCAACUGUCAUAAUCCGCAAUUGUGAAACCUACUUUUUCCAGUAUCUACUAUGUGUCAGGCACUAGCCCACUUACUUUGUAUAUAUCAUCCACAUGACAACUUGUAGCAUGGUAUGUUUCUAUUACUAUUAUAGAUAAGGAAACUGAGGCUCUGAAGUGAAGUCACUUGCUCAGGGUCACAGCUAAUGAGCAGCCCAGUCAGGAGUGAGCCCUAGCUUGUCCCACGAGGCCACACUGACGCCCUCUGAAAGGAAGAUGGCAGGCACGCAUUGUUUGCAGUGCCCCGUGUGUAACUGCAACCCGGCCCAUGGUGACACUGUCCUGACUGAGCCUGAGCUCCAGAGCCCCCUUCCUACAGGCAGGACUUUCCUAGAGUGAACCUACCCACCGCUGUUCAAAUGUGAAAAACCCCCACUCACAGCAGGCCACGGUGUCUGAGCAAAAGCUUUUUUUCAGCUCAAAGUCUGUUCCUUUUUGUGGAAAACAAAGGGCAGGGGCCACUUUCUGAAUGUCAAGAUUCUGAAUUGAGUUGCCCAGCCCAUCGUGCAGCCUUCGCCUGGCCUGAGUGUGGGGACAGAUGUGCUGUGCUCCACACACAAUGAGAGGCGGGAAUGGGUCACUCUAGGGUCAGGCUUCAAGAGGGCGGCCUCUCGUAGCCAGCCUCCCUCUGUUCCAGCUAACUGUGACUCAGGUCCCGCUGCAGCAGAGAAAAGAAAAGCUGCGCCGGGUGGUAGGAGGCCAGUAUAUUCACGUGUACUUACUGAGCACCUACUAUGUCCUCAGUUCCAAGGGGGUGCAACAGCGGGUGGCCGAGAAGGCUGAGAUGCAGUCCCUUCCUCCCAGAACCACCACCUUCAGCAGCGGCAGUGGCAACAACAGAAGAGCAAGCCACGCUCAUUGUGGACCCGCUCUGUGCAGGUGGGAAAACUGAGGCACAGCCCAAGAUCACCAAGCCAGUAAAGGCGAGUCGACGUCCUCUACACGGCAGGGUUAUACCCAGCGACCACGGAAGGUGGGGCCUCGCCUGCUUCCUGCCGCCCUCCCCAACUGGUCCCGCGACAGGCCGCCUCUGAAACCGCCAGGCACCCCCACUCUGUACUUACGGUCAAGGCCGUUGAUGUAGCGCAUGGUGACUUCGCAGUGGCCCCACACCGCACUCACCACCGGGUACAGCUUCUUGCCCUUGAGGCCGCGGAAGGCCACGCCCAGAUACUGGCCGUCCACCACGAAGCUGAGCGUGCCCUCGUCCAUGUCCAGCACCACGAGCAGCGAGUCCGGCAGCGCGAAGGCCUCCUCGGGUCCCAGGAAGGCGGGGUAGGCCACUCCCGGCCUGUUCUUGCCGUCGUGGUAGAGGCGGCUGCGGCCCAGGUCCCAGCCCCACGACUCCGCGUCACUGCCCACCAGUGCCGUGUAGCCCACGGAGUGCAAGGGGGCUCGAGCCGUGGCCACCCCCACUACGGCGUGGGUGCCACGCUGCCGCGCCGGCCAGUUGAUCUGCCAGGCGUGCAGGCCCCGGGCGUGGCCCACCUUGCCGCGGAUACCGUCGGUGCUCUGGGCCACCGGGUGCCGGUGGAAGACCCCAACUUCAGCACAUGCCAACCCUAUCCAGAGAGCUCUGGCUAAUGUUUAAUCUGGGGGAAACCAGAGCACGUAAAAAUUUGCAACACUAGACAGCCCGAAGAUAGCAGAAUACAGUUACUUCUUUUCAUAUCCCAAAUCACCUAAAAUAAAGGAGAAAGAGAAAGAGAAAUGCAAAUUUUAUCUUCAGCAAAACCAGAACACAUUUGUAACCCGAACCACAACUUAUAAGGAAAGACUGCCAAAAACAGUAAAGGACUGCCAAAAGCAGCGAAGAUCAAACGGGGGUGAGAAAACACCUACAGAAAACACCUGUGGCUGCAGAUCUCGGAUAAAGCUGGCAGAGCCAAACAGUAGCUGGCACUCUCUGAUGGAAAAAAACCAAUGGUUCCUAAACAGAACAGUGGGAGCAGGGUAUGUGGUCUGGCAGUGGGAGCUGCCUCGGACACCCUGAGGACAGAGGAGGGCAGGGGUAGCAAGAAAACCAUAGGCCUGCCAUGGUCACAGGAAGCAGUGUGUUGUUGAGGCAGAGUGGGAGAUUGGGGUAAGCCCAUAGCUACAGAACUGUGCUGCUGGGUAGAAGCGAGGCCAAAAGAAAUCACGGCCUCAGCCCUAGGAACAAAAUUACCAUGAACCGGGAGCAAUCCUGCUCUCCUAAAAUACUUCCUGGCACCUCCCCUCUGCAUAAAUCCCCUGCAAAACGUUGAUCUAGAGGAAUUAGCACAUGACAUAGUCAAAGAUGCUUACAGGAGAAAUAAAGGAGGGAGAGAACAACAACAACAACAAAUGGCAAAUCAAGAAAAUUCACCGGAAAAAAAGCUGUCACAAAGCAUAUAAAAAUUGUGACUAAAUUUGUAAAGUAAUUUUGUGAUCACUUAUUUCAGAAGGGAGACAACUAGCACAGUCUAAAAAAAAAUAAAAGAUAAGAUGCAUCUUGCAUAGUUAUAAAGGCAACCUCUAGAAGAACUAAAGUGCAAAGCUUCCGAACUGUCAGAAAGAACACAACACAAAAGACCGCACACUGAAAGAUUCUGCUGUAAGAAGCAAGAGAAAUCAUAACACAAAGACAUAAAAUAUGAUAGUAAAACUAAGCCUGAAACACUAGCUGUGUCAAUGAAUGGCCAUAGUAAAAAAAAAAAAAAAAGUAAGUUGGAAAAUAAGACAAAACUCCCAACCAUAUGCUACAUAUAAAAGACCUCUCCAGGGGCACCUGGGUGUCUCAGUCGGUUAAGCAUCUGACUUCAGCCCAGGUCAUGAUCUCACAACCUGUGAGUUCGAACCCUGGGUUGGGCUCUGUACUGGCAGCUCGGAGCCUGGAGCCUGCUUCCGAUAGAUUCUGUGUUUCUGUCUCGCUCUCCCCCUCCCCCACUCAUGCUCUCUCUCUCAAAAAUAAACAUUAAAAAAAAUUUUUUUUUAAAAAGAGGUAUCUCCAAAGCAAAGAGAGGCAACAAUAUUAAAGAUCUAACAUACCAAAUAAUAGCACCAAAAUUCAGAUCAAAAGCUACAGACAAUAACAAGGAAGAACAGGCAGAUAGAUACACAGCAGAGGCAGGUGACUUUAAUGUACCUUUGUAAGCUUUUGACAGAUCAGUGAACCAAAUUAGCAAAGGACAUAAAAAAAUAAAAAUUGCAUAAUUAAUAAGGCACGGUUAAUUGAAAUAUAUAUCAAAACAUUUCCCAUUUAUCAGGCCACAAGUAAACCUUACGAAAAAAGCAGAGAUAAUACAGAAUCUAAUAACAUAAAAAAAAAAAAAACUAAAAAUUAAUCACAAAAAUAUGAGACAGAACCCUACCACUUGGAUAUUUUACAAAACUCUGUUUUUUCUAAAGUUUAUUUAUUUAUUUUGAGAGAGAGAGAGAGAGAGAGCAAGCGAGCAUGGGAGCAUGAGUGGGGGGAGGGGCAGAGGGAAGGAGAGAGAGGGAAUCCCAAGCAGGUUGCAUGCUAUCAGAGCAGAGCCCAACGUGGGGCUUGAACCCAUGAACCAUGGGAUCAUGACCUGAGCUGAAACCAAAAGUCGAAAGCUUAAUCGACUGAGCCAGCAAGGUGCCCCUAAAAACUUUCUUCUAAACAACUCAAAUCAAAAAAAGAAACCUACAUAGAAUUUGAAGAAUAUAUACAGAGAGAGAAUAACAAAACACAUUCCAUAUCUUAAAACCUGUGGGAUCCUACUACUCAGAGGAAAU